ensembl:lncRNA
GUCACUUCCGGGCCCCCGCGCGCGCCUUGUAAGGGAGCCGUUUGCUGCUGCAGGUUUGUGUUUAAACAGAUGAGGCGACACAGGCUUUUAGGAAUGCAGACACUGGAGCGGGAAUAACUCAGGAGGUGUAAACACAGUUCCACCUUGUCCCCGUGCGUCCCUCCAACUGGGACUGCAGGUCAAGGGCACUUGAGCGCACCGGUUCCGGAGGAGACGCUGGGCCGCGAACCGAGUGCUCAGCGGACGUGGGCUGGGAGGAUGUGUGACCGCGCGCCCGCCAGGGCGGCUGGAGAGACAUGCGUUCCGUGGACCACCAAAGAUCUCAAAUGAUCCACUCUCUUUUUGGAUACAACCUGUACCGCACUGUGAGCUUCACUGAUAGUCAUGGGGCGUCUCACUUGUAUUUCUGCUGCGACACAGUUCGGCUUGCAACCUGCUGUACCGCCAGAGAAGGACCGGGGUUGGAGAGGGUGGAGUUGAUCCUUCGCCAGAAGAGGCCACCCUGAAGAUCCCUGUCCUCCCCUCCGGGUUCUUCGUCGCGGAGCAAACCGUGUGUGCCUUAAGGGCAGAGACGUCUGAAGAAGCCCCUCAGUACAGAGUUGUAGGUCCUUCUGGUUGUACUAUGUAGGAUGCCUCAGCAUGGCUUGCUGAGCGGUGCCAUGUCUGCGCCCAGGAUCUGAACUGGCAAAACUGCCAAAGCAGAGCAUGCAAACUUAACCACUGGGCCAUGAUUGGUUUGUGGAGAUUUGGGAAGUUUUUCCAUGUUAAAAGAGAGCUUUCAAAAGUUGAAUACAACUUUACCUGGUGUGUUGCCCUUUGAAACAGACAAGGCAGAACUGUACCUGGAUUAUGUUUUAUGGAUCGACUAGAAAAGGAAAAGACUUGGAUGGAAAAUUUUUAAAAAUUGCUCUCAGGAGUGGGAAGGAUUAGACAGUGGAUGGCAGUGUCAAUUGUAAAAUCAGGAAAUGCUGAUGUAGUGGAUGCUCUGGUGUGCCACCUUUCAGGACUGAGACUAACUCCCCCAGCUGCUGGGAGUGUCAACAGCUGACAGCUCUCAGCUGAGUCCUCUCCAGCAAUUGUCGUCCGCCAAAUAGAGACACUGUCCAAAGUCAUAUUCCUUCUGUGGGGGCAGCCCACUUCCAGGGACUAGUCUAGGAGGGGAAUAAAGGCUUAGCCUCUUCGGCUUAUGUGGCACAACUCAUAGGUUGUCCCAGCUCCAGAUCUCUCUUGUGCCUGCAUCACAGUAUGACUUCUUCUGCCCAGUCCUGCUCCCCUUCCCUGACUCCUCUCAUGUUUUGGUCCCGUGAAUACCACCCAAUAAAAAACCUGCAUGCAAAUCUCAAAAUUUCAGACUCUGUUUCCUACGGAAUUCAACCCAUGAGUGUUGGUACAAGAAGUGGUCCUUAGAAAAACACUCCAAGAUGAAAUUUUGAAGUUGGAUCACCUGCCAGCCUGCUGCUAAUUGUCAUCGCGGGUAGUAGUGAAGCACCGAGAUCCCCUGGAAUACCGUGGCAAUUGUUAAAACCUUCAUCAGCAGCAAAGUGGAAUGGGAUGCCAGUGGAAGGGAGUGCACCCAAAGAUUCAAUAUCUCAGGAGUUUCAGGAAAUAGUAAUUAUAAGAAGUUUGGAAUAGGAUGGUCAUUUGGGGGGGGCCCUCAUUAAUUCAUUAAAGAAAGAAAAUGAAAAACUGAAGGUGAUUAAUUGCCAAUAUCAGACUAAGUGUGAAAGCCAGCGGGUCUAUUGGGCAGCAUAUAAAAUUAUUUGCAUAUCCUGCAGCCAGAGGGCAAAAAAUCUGUGGGCCAGAUCUAACAACUAAAUAGCAGAGUUCCAGAGAAGGUUAAACUCUCAACCCUACCAAGCCUGCUACACCAAGGUCUAGGCCCUGAUUGGAAAAAUUUGAGAUGCUGAGACUUGAAAUGGAGUCAUCUGGGUCAAUGCAUUUGAAAAUCUUAAAUUUCC